rnacentral:lncRNA from 1 species
GGAGAGGCAAAUGUAAUCACUAAUAUCAGCCCAACACUUGAAUAUCUAAAACAUGCACGUACAUUAUCAACCGAAUGCAGCCUUUGAUGGUUACCGCACUGACUACUGUUAGCUAAAUGUUUGGAAAUCAAUUAAUUUUAUCAAGAGAUGAUCAACCAUAACUUUUCUGAAGCGUCGGAAGAAAUUUAAGAUGGAUGCCGUACCUGUAUAGUUGCAAACUGAGCAGGAUCAUCAGAGAGAAAGUGAGACAAAUGCAUUAAUAUUGCGGACAGAUUUUACACCAAAAGCUCGAGGGAAGACUAAAUGCGAUUUCUG